rnacentral:tRNA from 1 species
CAAGGCGUGGCUGAAUAGUCAAGCAUCUCACUUACACCGAGAAGACGUCCAUGCAAAUUGGACCGCCCUGA